GGUUGUGGCUCAGUGGUAGUGCACUCAUCUGGCAUGUGUAAGGCACUGGGUUCGAUCCUCAGCACCA
rnacentral:tRNA from 1 species